GGAGGGACUGUGGCUCAGUGGAAGAACCUCUGCUUUCCCUGCAGAAGAUCCUAGGUUCAAUCCCCAGCAUCUCCA
rnacentral:tRNA from 1 species